UAAUAUGCUUCAUUGGUGUUUUGUUUUGAAGUGUGAAAUGCAAAGUAAUUGUGAUAAAGUCAAGAUAAAGUUCACUUUUAAACUGAACUAAAUAAGGUAUCUGAGAGACAACAAUGGUUAAAUGCAAUACAAUGUACAGGUUUUACUAGCGAAAUGAAAAUUUUCCUGUCCUGUCUGCUGUAAUCAUUUUAUAUCUGGAAAACCAGCCGACUUAAUCGAUAAUAACAAUCUCCAGAUUGGGUUCCUUCAAUAAAUAUGGGCUAUUAACACAAUGAAAUAAGUUCCAGAAAAUCUAAAAUGGAGUGGUAUCAAAGGAGAAUUAAAGGAAAAAAUAUUCAUAUUGAAAUUAUUUAUAAGGCACUGGACUGUCUUAAAUUCUACAAUAAUACUAGAAUCAGCUGAGAGAAGUGGUCUACAAAAAAACCAGGAAGGAAACGGAAUAUGUGGCUACGAAAGGCAAAAGAAAGGUUUACAAAGCAAAUGUGACACAUUUUUUUGAAAUAUUUAGGAAUAUCAGUAAAUUGCAUUAAAAAAAUGUAU